GUAGCCCAAUCAUUGCAAAGAGGAGAAGGUGGAUUACAAAAGUAAUGUGAAUUGAUCCAUGUCUACAAAGUUAUGUCUUAGUUUUCAAACUAACUAAUUUGUUCAAUUCAUGGGCUCCAAAAAGCACUCCUUUCAACGUCAAAUACAAUAACUAAACUCACACAGAAGUACCGUGAGCUCCAGAAGGCAAGUCUUAAACAUUAAAUAAUCCAUUGUUGGGUUAGCAUUAUCAAGUCAAAACCUUCCUUUGGUUUGUCCAAGCACCAGUUAAUACUAUUAAGUUUCAGAUGCAUUUCUUUUAGCAUAGUAGAAGAUUAAACUAUGAGCUAUAAGAGUUAUUCUAAGGUCUUGCUUCUGGUUAUUUAUCCCAUCUAUCAAGAAAAGCACAAAAGCCGCUCAGUCUACUUAUUACCCAAUUCAAAAACCAACCCAUUAACCCUUAUGGUAAUGCAAUCAACUCUAGAACCAAUAAUUGCUAGGACAUCCAAACCAUGGUAAAUGCAGUAGCUUAUUGAUGAUUGUUGAUGCCUGCAAUUUAGUAAUUGCAUUUUCA
rnacentral:misc_RNA from 1 species